UGGGGAAUUUUGCACAAUGGGGGAAACCCUGAUGCAGCGACGCCGCGUGAUUUAGAAGGCCUUCGGGUUGUAAAAAUCUUUUCUAUGGGAAGAAAAUGACAGUACCAUAGGAAUAAGGACCGGCUAAUUACGUGCCAGCAGCCGCGGUAAUACGUAAGGUCCGAGCGUUGUCCGGAAUCAUUGGGCGUAAAGGGUACGUAGGCGGGUAAGCAAGUUAGAAGUGAAAUCCUGUAGCUCAACUACAGUAAGCUUUUAAAACUGCUCAUCUUGAGAUAUGGAAGGGAAAGUGGAAUUCCUAGUGUAGCGGUGAAAUGCGCAGAUAUUAGGAAGAAUACCGGUGGCGAAGGCGACUUUCUGGUCAUCAUCUGACGCUGAGGUACGAAAGCGUGGGUAGCAAACAGG
rnacentral:rRNA from 2 species